rnacentral:rRNA from 1 species
UAGUCAUAUGUGUCUCAAAGAUUAAGCCAUGCAUGUCUAAGUAUAAGCACAGCUCAUUAUAUCAGCAAUAAUUUAUUUGAUGGUACCUUACUACAGAGCUAAUACAUGCGUAAAGUCCCGACUCUUCUGGGAAGGGAUGUAUUUAUUAGAUAAAAAACCAAUGGCUUCGGCCUUCUUUGGUGAUUCAUAGUAACUGUUCGAAUCGCAUGGCCUCGUGCUGGCGAUAGUUCAUUCAAAUUUCUGCCCUAUCAGCUUUCGACGGUAGUGUAGUGGACUA